GGGGUUGUGACUUAGUGAUAGAGCACUCACCUCGCACAUGUGAGGUGCUGGGUUCAAUCCUCAGCACCACA
rnacentral:tRNA from 1 species